UACUGCAAACACCAGAAGACUACAAAAUCCACUGUUUUUUCCCAGUACUUGACCGUUUAAUCAGUGAAUUGAAUAGGCGCUUCUCUGCUGACAGUUGCCACGUUAUGAAAGGAGUUGCAGCUAUUAAUCCCAAACACAAGACCUUCCUGCACCAAGAUGCCCUUCAACCCAUGGCUAGGCACUAUGGCAUAUUAGAAGACAACCUUUCAGCAGAGCUACAUCAACUAAAACGACUCAUUGACAGAAAAAAACAAAAUGGGGUCUCUCUCAACAGCACCCAUGACUUGCUGAUUCUAUUAAGACCAUACAAGGAGGCUUUCAUUGAUUUAUACAAACUUGUGUGCAUCUCCAUGACACUGCCUGUAUCAACAGCUGCUUGUGAGAGGAGCUUUUCUUGCUUACGGCGUUUAAAAACCUACCUCAGAAACAAAAGUGGCGAUGUCCGAACCAGCAAUCUUGCUGUGCUGGCAAUCAGCUCACGAAGAACAAAAGAGAUUGAUGUAGAUGUUGUUAUUGAUCGCUUUGCAGCCAAUCAUAACAACAGGCGAAUUGUUCUCUUUUAAGUGGAAAUCACACAUGUGGAGAAUGGAUUGAAGACAGGAGGAGACUGGAGACUUAAGAGGAGCAGAGAAAAUGAGGAAACUGGACAAAAGAGCAGUCAAUAUUGUAAAUCACACCUGUGGAGACUGAAGAGAGGAGAGAAGAUGAGAGGAUGACACUGGAGAGUAAUAGGAGUAAAUUACACACUGCAAAAAAAAAAUGACUUUUUUACUUAGUGUUUUUGUCUUGUUUUCAGUAAAAAAUAUCUUAAAAUUCUUAAAUUAAAAAUGUAUUUUCAUGAUGAGUAAAAUGACCUAAGAAAAUAGUUUUCUAAUUUUUACUGAAAACAAGACAAAAUUAUUAAGUAAGAAAGUCAUUUCUUCAACUGAACAGAAGUAGGGCAAUCAAAAGAGAGUAUGAGAAUAGAUACUAUUUUGUUUUCUGUCAUGGGUAUGGCUAUGGCAGUUAUAGUUUGAGCGCAUUGUUUGUUAACUGGAA